GACGAACGCUGGCGGCGUGCCUUACACAUGCGAGUCGAACGGCAGCAUGGAGAGCUUGCUCUCUGAUGGCGAGUGGCGAACGGGUGAGUAAAGCAUCGGAACGUACCGUGUAGUGGGGGAUAACGUAGCGAAAGUUACGCUAAUGCCGCAUACGCACUGAGGUGGAAAGCAGGGGAUCGCAAGACCUUGCGCUAUACGAGCGGCCGAUGUCAGAUUAGCUAGUUGGUAGGGUAAAGGCCUACCAAGGCGACGAUCUGUAGCGGGUCUGAGAGGAUGAUCCGCCACACUGGGACUGAGACACGGCCCAGACUCCUACGGGAGGCAGCAGUGGGGAAUUCUGGACAAUGGGGGCAACCCUGAUCCAGCCAUGCCGCGUGAGUGAAGAAGGCCUUCGGGUUGUAAAGCUCUUUCGGCCGGGAAGAAAUCGCACAGGCUAAUACUCUGUGUGGAUGACGGUACCGGCAUAAGAAGCACCGGCUAACUACGUGCCAGCAGCCGCCGUAA
rnacentral:rRNA from 1 species